rnacentral:lncRNA from 1 species
UUGCUUCUUGCUCUCUUGCUUCCUGCACCCUGGCUCCUGAAGAUGUAAGAAAUAAAGCUUUGCCGCAGAAGAUUCUGGUCUGUGGUGUUCUUCCUGGCCGGUCGUGAGAACGCGUCUAAUAACAAAAAACACAAAGCAAUGGAUUCCUUCAAAACUGAUAAAAGUCAGAUUUGAUAGAAGGAGAAUUCCAGAAGAUCUUGGCUGUAAAGAAGAAGAAAGAAAUCAGAAAGAUCAAUAAAGCAGAUAAAUUGUAUCACUGACCCCACACAUGGGAACAGGACCUUUGGUAUUCCCACUUUGGAGUUAUACACUAUCAACUCUUGACAGUGUUAAAUAUGGGAAAGAAAAGAAUACAGAAUGGAACUAGUGAGUGUUUGGAAUGUAAACUCAUCUGAUCAAACAUUUGUUGAGUUCCAACAGAGUCUGGCACGAGGGAGAAAAGAGUCAUGGGGCUCUGGUGCUCUCUCCUGCUGGGAAACACCUGUGACUGGGACCACUGGCCUGUUUGCCUUAACUGGAAUUUUACAAAGAAGUUUAAGAAUGCCUUUGACUUUUUCCUUUUAAAAGUCUUGUAAUCAGAUCUAUUUGGAGCAGAAGAAAUGCUCACACCACUAUUAUAUUAUUCAACUUAUUUUGUAUGGAAUGCAUGUAUGUUAG